AAUUAUAAUUUAGUUUAGGUUUAGGGUCCAUUAAAACGCUCGAAUCAUAUAUGGCUGCUACUCCACCUCCUCGGCCAGUGCCUCGAGGAAUGUGAGUAUUAAUAUGACUGGGGGGGUGGUUUCAUUUAGGCUAACAUACUCCUCGUGGGACAACCAGGUCUCAGUAAGACAAAGUAAAUCAAUAUCAUAAUCUGAUAUUAAUUCAUUCACUAAAACAGCUUUAGAGGACAGAGACCUGAUAUUUAACAGUCCACAUUUCAUUCUCUUAUUUUGUGCUACUGAGGAGUUGGUUUUAAUUUUUAUUAGGUUUUUAUGUUUAACUCCUCUUGUUUUUAUUUCUUUAAAUAAUUUAGGUGGUCGGGGGACAGACACAGUCUCUAUGGGGUUUUGGGUGGGUGACUGUUCUAAAGAAAGCGCAGAGAAGUGUGUAAGACAGCAGCUCUGCUUCCUGGUCCUAACUCUGGACUGUCAGGUUUUAGAAAUAAACUUCGCCAUAUUUCUAGAUAAGAGAGCCGCUCCAUCCAAAGUGGGAUGGAUGCCGUCUCUCCUAAUCAGACCAGGUUUUCCCCAAAAAGGCUUCCAGUUAUCAAUGAAGCCCACAUCGUUUUCUGGACACCACCUCGACAGCCAGCGGUGG